AAUCUACUCCCUCCGUCUCAAAAUUCUUGUCUUAAAUUUGUCUAAAUACGGAUGUAUCUAGUUAUGUUUUAGUAUUAGAUACAUCCGUAUCUAGACAAAUGUAAUGCAAGAAUUUUGGGACGGAGGGAGUAAUUG
rfam:Triticum aestivum genome assembly, contig: Triticum_aestivum_CS42_TGACv1_scaffold_578969_7BL